rnacentral:rRNA from 1 species
GACGAACGCUGGCGGCGUGCCUAAUACAUGCAAGUUGAGCGAUGAAGAUUGGUGCUUGCACCAAUUUGAAGAGCAGCGAACGGGUGAGUAACGCGUGGGGAAUCUGCCUUUGAGCGGGGGACAACAUUUGGAAACGAAUGCUAAUACCGCAUAAUAACUUUAAACAUAAGUUUUAAGUUUGAAAGAUGCAAUUGCAUCACUCAAAGAUGAUCCCGCGUUGUAUUAGCUAGUUGGUGAGGUAAAGGCUCACCAAGGCGAUGAUACAUAGCCGACCUGAGAGGGUGAUCGGCCACAUUGGGACUGAGACACGGCCCAAACUCCUACGGGAGGCAGCAGUAGGGAAUCUUCGGCAAUGGACGAAAGUCUGACCGAGCAACGCCGCGUGAGUGAAGAGGGUUUUCGGAUCGUAAAACUCUGUUGGUAGAGAAGAACGUUGGUGAGAGUGGAAAGCUCAUCAAGUGACGGUAACUACCCAGAAAGGGACGGCUAACUACGU